CAAUCGAGAAACCCUGAUGCAGCAACGCCGCGUGAGUGAUGACGGCCUUCGGGUUGUAAAGCUCUGUCUUCAGGGACGAUAAUGACGGUACCUGAGGAGGAAGCCACGGCUAACUACGUGCCAGCAGCCGCGGUAAUACGUAGGUGGCGAGCGUUGUCCGGAUUUACUGGGCGUAAAGGGAGCGUAGGCGGAUUUUUAAGUCAGAUGUGAAAUACUCGGGCUUAACCUGAAGUGCUGCAUUUCAAACUGGAAGUCUAGAGUGCAGGAGAGGAGAAGGGAAUUCCUAGUGUAGCGGUGAAAUGCGUAGAGAUUAGGAAGAACACCAGUGGCGAAGGCGCUUCUCUGGACUGUAACUGACGCUGAGGCUCGAAAGCGUGGGAGC
rnacentral:rRNA from 1 species